rnacentral:misc_RNA from 1 species
UACGGAGGGUGCGAGCGUUAUUCGGAAUCACUGGGCGUAAAGGGCGCGCAGGCGGUCUAGUAAGUCCGAUGUUAAAGAGCGGGGCUCAACCCCGUCACGGCGUUGGAUACUGCUGGGCUUGACGGCUGGAGAGGUGAGUGGAAUUACCAGCGUAGCGGUGGAACGCGUAGAUACUGGUAGGAACACCCAUUGCGAAGGCAGCUCACUGGACAGCACGCGACGCUGAGGCGCGAAAGUGUGGGGAGCAAACCGG